UACGGGGGGGGGCAAGCGUUGUUCGGAAUUACUGGGCGUAAAGGGCGCGUAGGCGGCCUGAUAAGUAGGGGGUGAAAUCCUGUGGCUUAACUGCAGGGCUGCCUCCUAGACUGUUAGGCUCGAGCACGGUAGAGGCAGAUGGAAUUCCCGGUGUAGCGGUGGAAUGCGUAGAGAUCGGGAAGAACAUCGGUGGCGAAGGCGGUCUGCUGGGCCGUUGCUGACGCUGAGGCGCGACAGCGUGGGGAGCAAACAGG
rnacentral:rRNA from 1 species